GCGGCCGCCGCCAUGUCGGGGGAGGCGGCGGAGCUGCUGGCGGCGGCGCAGGCGCAUCUGUCGGCGCGGCGGCUGUCGGCGGCGGAGGAGCUCUACAGCCGCUUCAUCGACCGCGGCCCCGCCGCCGCCGGCGCCGGCCGCGACCUCGCCACGGCCCUCAACAACCGGGGCCAGAUCAAGUACUUUCGGGUGGAGUUCGCCGCCGCCAUGGAGGACUACACGGCCGCCAUCCAGUGCCAGCCCGCCUUCGAGGUGCCCUACUACAACCGGGGCCUGGUGCUCUACCGCCUGGGAUGCUUUGAUGAGGCCAUGAAAGAUUUCAGGAAGGUACUAGAGUUAAACCCCCAGUUUGAAGAUGCUGCAUUGAGUCUAAAACAGGCUAUUCUUGAUAAAGAAGAAAAACAAAAGCGGGGUUAUUGAAAAUGCAGCUAGUGGUGUGAAAAUGUACUUCUGUGAUUUUUGUCAUUAAUGGAUGAAACACAAAAUCAUUUACAUCUGUUCUGACCUACUGAAGAAACCUCAUUCUUGGAUAAAUAAGAUAAAAGUGGAUUAUGAUUGCAAAAUAAACUAUUUUUGAAUACUGUAAGUGUUGAGGAAAAGUGAGACACUUGUACAGAUUUUGUACAGAAGUACUUCAUUAAGGGGUUGGAAGAUCAGUAACAGCUAAUGAAAUCUAGUUCUUUUAUUAAAACUUUCUGUGCUAUUUCACAUU